GCUAGCUACAGGCUUAACACAUGCAAGUCGAGGGGCAGCAUUUCAGUUUGCUUGCAAACUGGAGAUGGCGACCGGCGCACGGGUGAGUAACACGUAUCCAACCUGCCGAUAACUCGGGGAUAGCCUUUCGAAAGAAAGAUUAAUACCCGAUGGUAUAAUCAGACCGCAUGGUCUUGUUAUUAAAGAAUUUCGGUUAUCGAUGGGGAUGCGUUCCAUUAGGCAGUUGGUGAGGUAACGGCUCACCAAACCUUCGAUGGAUAGGGGUUCUGAGAGGAAGGUCCCCCACAUUGGAACUGGGACACGGUCCAAACUCCUACGGGAGGCAGCAGUGAGGAAUAUUGGUCAAUGGGCGCAGGCCUGAACCAGCCAAGUAGCGUGAAGGAUGACUGCCCUAUGGGUUGUAAACUUCUUUUAUAUGGGAAUAAAGUUUUCCACGUGUGGAAUUUUGUAUGUACCAUAUGAAUAAGGAUCGGCUAACUCCGUGCCAGCAGCCGCGGUAAUACGGAGGAUCCGAGCGUUAUCCGGAUUUAUUGGGUUUAAAGGGAGCGUAGGUGGACAGUUAAGUCAGUUGUGAAAGUUUGCGGCUCAACCGUAAAAUUGCAGUUGAUACUGGCUGUCUUGAGUACAGUAGAGGUGGGCGGAAUUCGUGGUGUAGCGGUGAAAUGCUUAGAUAUCACGAAGAACUCCGAUUGCGAAGGCAGCUCACUGGACUGCAACUGACACUGAUGCUCGAAAGUGUGGGUAUCAAACAGGAUUAGAUACCCUGGUAGUCCACACAGUAAACGAUGAAUACUCGCUGUUUGCGAUAUACAGUAAGCGGCCAAGCGAAAGCAUUAAGUAUUCCACCUGGGGAGUACGCCGGCAACGGUGAAACUCAAAGGAAUUGACGGGGGCCCGCACAAGCGGAGGAACAUGUGGUUUAAUUCGAUGAUACGCGAGGAACCUUACCCGGGCUUAAAUUGCAUUUGAAUAUAUUGGAAACAGUAUAGCCGUAAGGCAAAUGUGAAGGUGCUGCAUGGUUGUCGUCAGCUCGUGCCGUGAGGUGUCGGCUUAAGUGCCAUAACGAGCGCAACCCUUAUCUUUAGUUACUAACAGGUCAUGCUGAGGACUCUAGAGAGACUGCCGUCGUAAGAUGUGAGGAAGGUGGGGAUGACGUCAAAUCAGCACGGCCCUUACGUCCGGGGCUACACACGUGUUACAAUGGGGGGUACAGAAGGCAGCUACCUGGUGACAGGAUGCUAAUCCCAAAAGCCUCUCUCAGUUCGGAUCGAAGUCUGCAACCCGACUUCGUGAAGCUGGAUUCGCUAGUAAUCGCGCAUCAGCCAUGGCGCGGUGAAUACGUUCCCGGGCCUUGUACACACCGCCCGUCAAGCCAUGAAAGCCGGGGGUACCUGAAGUACGUAACCGCAAGGAGCGUCCUAGGGUAAAACUGGUAAUUGG
rnacentral:rRNA from 1 species